AUAGCGUAUAUUCAAGUUGUUGCAGUUAAAAAGCUCGUAGUUGAAUUUUGGGUCCGAUCGAGUGGUUUAGCCGCAAGGUUAACACUGCUUUUGUUUCGGACCCCUCCUUCUAGGGAACUAGCGUGCUCUUUACUGAGUGCGUUAGGGAUCUAGAACUGUUAAUUUGAAAAAAUUAGAGUGUUUAAAACAGGCAUUUUUGCUUGAAUACAUUAGCAUGGAAUAACGGAAUAGGACUUUGUUUCUAUUUUGUUGGUUUUUAGGAACGAAGUAAUGAUUAAUAGGGAUAGUUGGGGGCAUUAGUAUUCCAUUGUCAGAGGUGAAAUUCUUGGAUUUAUGAAAGACUAACUUCUG
rnacentral:rRNA from 1 species